GUUGCAUUACCUUAACAAGGAAGAUCGGUUGCUGCGCUGGCUUGUGGUCAAACACCGAGAUGCAAAAUAUGGGCUGAAAUUUCUUAGUGAAGAGGACAGCAGAAAUGAACUCAGUAAGUUUCCUCGAAGCAGUUUAUAUGAUAAUCAAGAUGUUGAUGAGGACGAUGACAACGACGAUGAAUAUGCUGUGGAUGAAGAAGAAGGAAAGCAGACAUAAGUAACUAGAAUGACAGGUGAACUUCAUUGGAUUCAAUAGUCA